rnacentral:ncRNA from 2 species
AAACAACACGAGGGGCGCCGAUUUUGGCUGAGAUGUGAUUCACUCACGGUCCCUUUGAACCUGUAAGGUAAUGCUUGCGAAGGAACGUGUGCAACAGCGGCC